ensembl:snRNA U6 U6 spliceosomal RNA
GUGCUCACUUUGGCAGCAUACAUACCAAAAUGGAAAUGAUACAGAGAAGCCUGACAGGGCCCCUGUGCAAGGAAAACAAAAGAAUAACUUUUCUCUUUUUUU